rnacentral:lncRNA from 1 species
AAUUUGUACAUAUGAAGGUUCUUCGGUGGAGACCCUCCAAUGCUUAAGUUACUCGGAGCUUGAGCACAGUAGAAAGAAGAGUAUAAGCUCAGUGUGGCAUACCUCGAGGGUCCCUCAUUAUCUCUUUAUAUAAAGGUGGAGUAGUGGACCAUUAUAUAGGUCGAUAAAUUAGAUCAUGAUCUAUUAGGCCAUUAGGAUAAGGAAUCUGAAGAUUCUUAGUCAUAGAAAGUGGUCACAUUUUAACAAAGAUUCUUGGUAAUGGCCCACGUGGCUGAAUAGAUAGGUGACCUGCGAUCAGCAUACAAUCGAGAUCUUAGUCCAAAGUACUCCAGCAGUGUCAGUUGGAAAAAAUCAUCCUGAGUGGUCAAUGAUGUCCCAACCUUGAGGUUGGUUGGCAUUCGAUUAGGG